CUGGAGGGGCAGGGCUUGGGCCCGGGCAGACGGUGCUUCCCAGGCCAGGUGAGUUCAAACAGGCCAGUGUCACAAGGACGCACGUCCUAGCGCCAGGCUCCCUGGGCUCUGCAGCGUUGUCUACCCCAGCACAGGGCCAGGCGUCUGGCUGGCUGCGUGGCCCCCUCUUGGUCCCUCUUGCAGCUCAAUGGGUGACAAGGCACAGCAUCAGGGCACCAGCACCAGGAGGGGCAGACAGCAGGUCCUGGUGCUCCCUCCAGCCUCACCAGGCAAAGCCGGCCCUGGGCCAGGCUGGGUGCAGGGCCAGGGCGCCACGAGGAGCGGAGGUCAGCGGGGAUUGUCAAAAACAGUCCCUCAAGUUGAGUCUCGAACUUUGAAACAGACAAAACCUUCACUGCAUGACAGGAGCAGCCCUGGAGUCUCUUAAAGGCAGGUGGGCAGAGGCAGUGCUGCCGAAGGGGCCUGGGGGCUGUAGGCAUCUUGGGGCUGGAGGCAGAUUGGGGACCACAAGCUGUUGGCCAGCUCUGCCAUGCUGAACUUGGGUGCCAGUACCACACCCUGCCCUGGGCAUGCAGCAACCGUCAGCCUUGCUGCCCCAGCUUGCGCACUGGUGAGGGCCAGGCUGCUCUCUGCACCUUGGCUUCCUGCCUCCUAGGCCGGGGUCCCCUUGUGGCCUUGGUGUUGGCUGGGGUAGCUAUUGAGGAUAGGCCUGGGAGGCCAGAGCCGCAGCCCCACCCGGGGGGCAGGCAGGGGUUCCUGAGCUCAGCCGGCACGCAGGUGGGGCACGUCCCCAGGGAGGGAUUGGUCCCGAACCAGAGAGGUGUCCGGUGGGGGAGAGGAUUGGCAGAAAGAAGAGGAUGUGUUGGUUUUGAUAGAAGAGAAGCUACAAAUAGAUUAUUUUCAAAAUCAGGAUCCCCCCACCCCCAUUUAUGCUGUGAGUCCCUUCUUCCUGUAAAAAAAAAAAAAGUGGAUACUCUCUUCUCGGAUCCCCGUUUAUGGCUCCACUGCCCAGAUGGGAGGCUCCUGGAGGAGGCCCAGGGUGCCAGAGCCUGCCAGACUCUGUUGUGCCUGAGCUGGGGAAGGGACCCUGUCUCGGGAAGAGCAAAGUUCUAUGAGUGACUUACAGACCCUAUGAAGUGAGGGUUGGUUUUGUGAUUAACCUUUUUCUGUUUUUCCUUUUAAAAUGUAAUUGCCCUUGAAUGCGAGACCCUGGGAAGAGCCCUGGGCUGGCUGGUAGAGAUGCAGCCCUCGGACCCUGCAGGAGCCGGCCCACACUGGAGGCGGGAGAGCUGGUGGCCGUGCCCAGGAAGUGCUUCUUUGGCUGGUUCUGAUUGUGUUUGGAGUUUGGCCUUGGCACCGGGCACUCGAUGGAGGGGACACGGCCCAGGGAUGGGCUGCAGCUGCAAGGGCUGGCAGAGGCCCCGCUGCUCCGGACGGUCUAUGCCUCCUCCUCCCCCGAAGACACCAUCAGUCGCAUGGCUACUGGCAGGUGGUCCGUCAGGCCGGACAGCUGGGUGAUAAAACUGAAUUCUUCCACCUCCU
rnacentral:lncRNA from 1 species